ensembl:misc_RNA Y_RNA Y RNA
GUCUGGUCCGAGUGCAGUGAUGUUUACAACUAACUGGUCACAACCAAUUACAAAUUUCUUUGUUCUUUCUCCACUCCUACUGCUUCAUGUGACUAGUUGG